rnacentral:lncRNA from 1 species
UUUCCAAUCGUACAGCGUGUUUCCACAUAGGCAGUUCAGUAACUCCUGAUGUUUCCUGUGUUUCCCCAAGCCCCAUGUCUAUCCUUCUUUCAGGCUCCAUUCUUUCCCAAUGUGCCUCACUUCCUCGAGACGGGGGCACUAAACUGCUGCUUGGACGCCCUGUGGCCUGGGUGGGGCUUGCCAACCACUGGGUUCACUGCCAGUGUCCAGACAGUGCUGGCCUUCGUCAGGCCCUGUGCACCAGCCGAUGCCAUUCUCCCCUUUGAGGUGCCCAAUUCUGCCAAAGACAGGUCCUUUGGCUCCUGUGGGGGCUGGAGGUCU